rnacentral:rRNA from 1 species
UACGUAGGUGGCAAGCGUUAUCCGGAUUUACUGGGUGUAAAGGGAGCGCAGACGGAACUGCAAGUCUGAUGUGAAAGCCCGGGGCUCAACCACGGGUAUGCAUUUGAAACUGGGUUUCUUGAGGGCAGGAGAGGAAAGCAGAAUUCCUGGUGUAGCGGUGAAAUGCGUAGAAAUCAGGAGGAACACCAGCGGCGAAGGCGGCUUACUGGACGAUUACUGACGUUGAGGCUCGAAAGCGUGGGGAGCAAACAGGAUUAGAUACCCGUGUAGU